CGAAAGCCUGACGGAGCAACGCCGCGUGAGGGACGAAGGCCUUUGGGCUGUAAACCUCUUUUCUCAAGGAAGAAGAUCUGACGGUACUUGAGGAAUAAGCCACGGCUAAUUCCGUGCCAGCAGCCGCGGUAAUACGGGAGUGGCAAGCGUUAUCCGGAAUUAUUGGGCGUAAAGCGUCCGCAGGCGGCCGUUUAAGUCUGUUGUUAAAUCGUGGAGCUCAACUCCAUCACGGCAAUGGAAACUGUUCGGCUUGAGUAUGGUAGGGGCAGAGGGAAUUUCCGGUGUAGCGGUGAAAUGCGUAGAUAUCGAGAAGAACACCAGUGGCGAAAGCGCUCUGCUGGGCCAUUACUGACGCUCAUGGACGAAAGCCAGGGGAGCGAAAGGGAUUAGAUACCCCUGUAGUCCUGGCCGUAAACGAUGAACACUAGAUGUUGGGGGAAUCGACCCCCUCGGUGUCGUAGCUAACGCGUUAAGUGUUCCGCCUGGGGAGUACGCACGCAAGUGUGAAACUCAAAGGAAUUGACGGGGGCCCGCACAAGCGGUGGAGUAUGUGGUUUAAUUCGAUGCAACGCGAAGAACCUUACCAAGGCUUGACAUCCUGCGAAUCUCCAAGAAAUUGGAGAGUGCCUUCGGGAACGCAGUGACAGGUGGUGCAUGGCUGUCGUCAGCUCGUGUCGUGAGAUGUUGGGUUAAGUCCCGCAACGAGCGCAACCCACGUUUUUAGUUGCCAGCAUUCAGUUGGGCACUCCAGAGAGACUGCCGGUGACAAACCGGAGGAAGGUGUGGACGACGUCAAGUCAUCAUGCCCCUUACGCCUUGGGCUACACACGUACUACAAUGCUGCAGACAAAGAGUAGCGAUCUUGCAAAAGUUAGCUAAUCUCGUAAACUGUGGCUCAGUUCAGAUCGUAGGCUGCAACUCGCCUACGUGAAGGAGGAAUCGCUAGUAAUCGCAGGUCAGCAUACUGCGGUGAAUACGUUCCCGGGCCUUGUACACACCGCCCGUCACACCAUGGAAGUUGGCCAUGCCCGAAGUCGUUACUCUAACCCUCUUCGGAGGGAAGAGGGCGCCGAAGGCAGGGCUGAUGACUGGGGUGAAGUCGUAACAAGGUAGCCGUAGCGGAAGCUGCGGCUGGAUCACCUCCUAA
rnacentral:rRNA from 1 species